rnacentral:lncRNA from 1 species
UUUUGAUUUUGAAUUUCAUAGGAAAAUGAAACUUGAAACUAUUAAAGAAAAAUCUUUUUGUAGUUUUCUUUUAGAGAUGUAUAUGAAACACCUACUCUAAGUGAAGAGUGAAGAAAAUCUUUUUGAAUUUUUCAGAUUUCUGUACAAAAUGAAAUCUAUGAUUACCAAAAAAAUAUUUUUGGAUUUUUGAUUUUGAAUUUCAUGCGAAA